rnacentral:lncRNA from 1 species
GGAGAGGUUUAAACCCGAACCACAACUGUGAGUUGAACAUCCACCACUUGCACAUAAUGUCGAGUUUAUACUGCCAUUUUCCAACUCUUUGCGCGUAUGGAGGUGUUGACGAAGUAGGGUUUAGUAGGUGACUCUAAUUAAUGGGCAAAUGGUCAACUAAACCAAAAGAUUCGAUGUUAACUUAUGAUUGCAAUCUGGAAAGCGUCGAACGCACACUUCCAACAGAGGAAGACUCAAACGCUUACUUUUACUUAUCUUCAAGAAUCGCCAAUCAAUCACAAUCUUAGGCUUUCCACGGUAGUUUGAGUGAGCGUGAUACUUAUAUAUAAAAAUCAGGCAAUUCGAGUUUGAUAUCUAUAAUAUUAUUGAUGCACUAGUAUAAGUUCAAGAUGUUGAUAUCACACUUAUGAGUUCAAUAUGUUAGAAUCACACUCAAAUUUUCCGAUGCACUAUAAAGUGUAAUUCGUAUAUAAGUUCAAUAUAUUUGUAUCACACUCACUUUUCCAACCUGACCUUUAUAAAAUCAAAUUGUUGACCACGCCCAUUACAAUCCAAAGAUAAAUGAGUCAUGACCUAAAAGUCUAUGCAGAUAAGUUUCACACACGUAUACUAACAUUCUUUCAACUCCUUUAUGCUUAUAAUUUAUAUGGAACUUUAGCGAAAGGCUCUCGGUA